AUGAACCAUGAUCGCAAUACAAUUACAGAGAAAUAUUGUUAAUAGACAAAUAGUCAAUUCUCGAAUCAGAAGAAAACGCAAAAACUACUGAUUUAUAAGAAAGAACAAAAUUAUUCGACUGGAACUUUGCAGCACUGAAAAGAUUUAUACAACGAUAAUUCGGAUAACAGAUUAUACAGGGCUCCAUUUACACAUUUACAACAUUUUAAUAGAGGUGCCCGGGAAAAAUGGAUAAGACCUACCCAGACUGACUUAUGCGCUUGGUGACGAAAGACUAUCGGCUAUCGGACACGUGCGGAAAACACCGAAUACCGCAAAAUCGAAUGGCUUUCAAUCGUCGACCCGUAGGUCAAGUAAACAAGCGGAUAAGUAACCUUCGUUGUUGUCAAGACGAAUAGUAAUCGUUGUAACGCAGAACGUAGAUUCAUUAUCCGAGUUUCAAUACAAUAAAAGACGCGGUAAGAUCAGACCAUGGCCUAGUUGACUGGGUACACUCGGACCGUAGAUUCGUCUAUGAUCGCCACAACGAAAAACAUAAUUAUUCGAAAUGUCACAACUGGAAUUUAGAUGUUGUUGACAAUUAAUACAGCGCCUAGCAUAUGUAUACACAUUGGUAUUUACCGCACAAAUGAUUAGCGAAUUAAUGGUCCGUAAAAAAUUCUCCUUCGUAUGAAAACAUUUUAAACACAUUUAAACGUGUGGACGAAACCAUAAGAAUGAAUUAUUCUAAUUUUUCUGUUUCGGACGAUAACAUAAAGGAUAACGAUGUUCAUCGGACGGGCGAACAAUUUCAAUUCAAUUUUUCUAAUACAGUGCUGUUUUGCUAAGUGCGCCUGCAUAACUAACCUGCAUACAAUACGACGCGAAGGCACUUCAAAGGACUGGGCCGGUAAAGCGUUUUUGUGCAUCGAGUUUUCCGCAGAAGAAAAUUAAUCACCCGAUCAAUCAUCAUUAUUGUUUAUAUUGUACGCCAAAAGUAAUGACACUAUUCUUGUAAACGUCGCAUCGUCAAAUGUAUGUAAAAAUAAUAAA